rnacentral:rRNA from 1 species
GACGAACGCUGGCGGCGUGCCUAACACAUGCAAGUCGAACGGGGUCCAUGGGAGCUUGCUCCCGGAAGACCUAGUGGCGAACGGGUGAGUAACACGUGAGAAACCUGCCCUGGAGUGGGAAUAACUCGGGGAAACUCGAGCUAAUACCGCAUACCCUCGGAUGGUCGCAUGGCCGACCGAGGAAAGAUUCAUCGCUUCAGGAGGGUCUCGCGGCCUAUCAGCUAGUUGGUGGGGUAACGGCCUACCAAGGCAACGACGGGUAGCUGGUUUGAGAGAACGAUCAGCCACACUGGGACUGAGACACGGCCCAGACUCCUACGGGAGGCAGCAGUGGGGAAUCUUGCGCAAUGGGCGAAAGCCUGACGCAGCAACGCCGCGUGCGGGAUGACGGCC